rnacentral:rRNA from 1 species
CUACGGGGCGCUGCAGUGAGGAAUAUUGCACAAUGGGGGGAACCCUGAUGCAGCAACGCCGCGUGGAGGAUGACGCAUUUCGGUGUGUAAACUCCUUUUAUAUGUCAAGAAAAUGACGGUAGCAUAUGAAUAAGCACCGGCUAACUCCGUGCCAGCAGCCGCGGUAAUACGGGGGGUGCAAGCGUUACUCGGAAUCACUGGGCGUAAAGGACGCGUAGGCGGGUUGGAAAGUCAGGUGUGAAAUCCUACAGCUUAACUGUAGAACUGCACUUGAAACUUCUAAUCUAGAGUAUGGGAGGGGGAGAUGGAAUUAGUGGUGUAGGGGUGAAAUCCGUAGAUAUCACUAGGAAUACCUAAAGCGAAGGCGAUCUCCUGGAACAUUACUGACGCUAAGGCGUGAAAGCGUGGGGAGCAAACAGGAUUAGAUACCCGUGUAGUC